AAGAUAAUGGCGUCUUUAAGUUGCAAAGCAAAGCACAGAAUGAUGCAUUUUACUUACCAUAUUGGAACACUUCUUUAUCACGUUGAGGCCGGCUAGGAGAAACAGAAAUUACCUUGGAGUUCCCAGGACUGUUCCAGACUGCUGUAAAGGUGAAUUUUUGGAUUUGAUCGUAUGACCGUUAAGGAUGACUUCAUGGUUGGUAAUAUAGAGUGCGGUAGUGUCUUAACGAUUAAAUGGAAUGGUACCCAGCAUGGUACCCGCUGUCCCAUUGGUAACUUUGAGUAGUUGAAUGGCCCCAAGGAGGAAUGACCGAAAGAUAGGAGGACGGCAAAACCAUGAUUUAAAAGAGAAUGAGUUCUAUUUGACUUACCAUGUAAUGCACUGUGCUAUGCAGUUGGAGAUUGAAGGAUG